ACAAGAUCACUCAGAUCACACAAGAUCUCCUUCAAAGAUCGUUCAGAUCACAUAAGAUCUCCUUUAAAGAUCGCUCAGAUCACACAAGAUCUCCUUCAAAGAUCGUUCAGAUCACACAAGAUCUCCUUCAAAGAUCGUUCAGAUCACACAAGAUCUCCUUCAAAGAUAGCUCGGUUCACACAAGAUCUCCUUCAAAGAUCGUUCAGAUCACACAAGAUCUCCUUCAAAGAUCGUUCAGAUCACACAAGAUCUCCUUCAAAGAUCGUUCAAAUCACACAAGAUCGCCUUCAAAGAUCGUUCAGAUCACACAAGAUCUCCUUCAAAGAUAGCUCGGUUCACACAAGAUCUCCUUCAAAGAUCGUUCAGAUCACACAAGAUCUCCUUCAAAGAUCGUUCAAAUCACACAAGAUCGCCUUCAAAGAUCGUUAAGAUCACACAAGAUCUCCUUCAAAGAUAGCUCGGUUCACACAAGAUCUCCUUCAAAGAUCGUUCAGAUCACACAAGAUCUCCUUCAAAGAUCGUUAAGAUCACACAAGAUCUCCUUCAAAGAUGGUUCAGACCACACAAGAUCUCCUUCAAAGAUCGUCCAGAUCACACAAGAUCUCCUUCAAAUAUCGUUCAGAUCACACAAGAUCUCAUUCAAAGAUCGUUCAGAUCACACAAGAUAUUCUUCAAAGAUCGUUCAGAUCACACAAGAUAUUCUUCAAAGAUCGUUCAGAUCACACAAGAUCUCCUUCAAAGAUCGUUCAGAUCAUACAAGAUCUCCUUCAAAGAUCGUUCAGAGAUCACACAAGAUAUUCUUCAAAGAUCGUUCAGAUCACAAAAGAUCUCCUUCAAAGAUCGCUUCAAAGAUCGUUCAGAUCACACAAGAUUGCUCGGAUCACACCAUAUUGCUCAUAUCACACAAAAUCACUUGAAAAGUUCGCUUAGGUCGCUUGCUAGUCGCUUGAGUUGCUCGCUAGAUCGCUUUAGUUGCUAAAGUGAGAAAGUCUUUGUUGUGGUGGCCUCAAUGGAAGUCCAGAGGGUAGCGGGUUGGAAUUAAAUAAUAGAAAUUGGGGACUUUUAUAAACAAAUAUAUAAAUAUAGAUAAAAAAAGAGGCAUAUCCAGACAGCUCACAUGGGCAUUUUUAGAUGGCAGAGCGCCAUUUAGUGGAACAAAAGCCAACUAAACGUUGAUUUAACUUGUUUCUUAAUAUUCGGCCAACCCAUUUUCUUGAUAAAUCAAGAAAAGCCAACCACAAAAGCGUUUGAGCUUGUUGGCCCUCGUCAGCGUGGUGCAAGCUGUACCUCUACGACCAAAAAUUGGAUCCUAGAGAAACUUCCUAAUAAAUCAAGAAAUGGGUAUUUAAGGCCUAAUUUGUGUAAAUACGCUGAUCAUGUGAAAAAAUAAAAAGAAAAAUGGUCAGGUGUUCAUAUUAAAAACAAAAAAGACAUAUCCUGACUGUUUACAUGAGCACAUUCUAAUUUUUUUUUUCACAAAAAUAUCUUUCACAUGAUCCGCGUAUUUACGCAAAUUUGGCUUCAAAUACCCAUUUAUCGAUUUCUCAGGAAGACUGAGACUAAAUUUUGGUCGUUGAGACACAGCCUGUACUGUGCUGAAGAGAGCCAACGGCCAGAAACACAUACGUGGUUGGCUUUUUGUGAUUUACCAAGAAAAUUGGUUGGCCAAAUAUAUCAUGGAACAAGUUAAAUCAACAUUUAGUUGAAUUUUUGUUCCAUUAGAUGGCGUUUUGCCAUAUAAAAUCCUCAUGUGAGCGUUUAUGAUAUGCCAUAUUUUCUUUUAAUAUAUAUAAAACUAGCGAACCCGGCCACGCGUUGCUGUGGCUAAAUUGUAAUAUAUUAAAUUAACAUUAUACUAAACUAUUCAGUACAGUAAAGUAAAUAUUCACUUAUGAAUAUAAAAAUGUUUCAGCCGAUCUAAAGCCCUACGGGAUUGAGAAUGGAACGUUACGUUAAAAUUUGAAAGUGAUUUUUAUAUAUAUAGAUAAUAUAGCCCUUCAUUGUAAGCAUUGAUUAUAAUCACUGCAUUAAUAAAUGUCAGUGAACUCGUUUAUAUGUAUUGUUUUUGUUUUCGAGAUAUUCUAAUAGAACGUUCUCACAUUUUCUGUAAAAUAUUUAUAUAUGCACAAACACAGAAUAUAAUCACUGUCUUAAUUUCGCUAUAAUAAUUGUUAUAAAUAUUAUUCUAAAAUAAUUCGCCAGAAAUCGUCCUGAUAGUAUAUUAAACAACUUCCCAAAGUGUCAUGGCAAACAUCUAAAAUAAAAUAAUACUUUUAAUACUUUGCUACAAUAUUAAAAAGAGGGGGGCUUAGGUGUUUAAAAUGUAAAAUGUGAUCUAAAUAGUAUUACAUAGAGCCUUCAUAACAAACAUAUUUAAAAUUAACCAAUCAAAAUAUAAUAAUGCUGUAAAAACAGACCUUGCUACGAUAAUAUAAAAGAAAUGAAAAUAAAAAAAGACACCCACGCUGAGCCUCGAACCUAGGUUUGCUACAAAUAUUGUUAAAAAAUUGUUUAUGUUAAUUUUUAUUUUAAAAAGCCUACAUUUUAAAUAAAAUAAUAUUUUUACUAAUUUGCUACAAUAAUAUAAAAGAAAUGAAAAAAAAAAAAACACCCACGCUGAGCCUCGAACCUAGGUUGCGGGGGUACGAAGCUGUGUGCCUAACCUAUAGGCUAAGCUUGACGUUACAUAUAAGCUCAUGCGAGGCUAUUUCAGGCCAUACGUCUGCCGCGAGGGGGCGCUGAUUGCGAGUGAAUUUACGUUUUAUUGUAAAUAAAAAUGCAACGAAAGGUUAUUUCUAAAGAGUAAUUAGCCAGAAACCAUCCCGGUAGUAUACUAAACAUCUUGCCAAAGUUUCAUCACGAUUGGUUGAGCGAUGUAGAAGAUUAUCACUGACGAACGGACGGACGGACGGACCAACGGACCAACAAACAUCCAUUUUUAUAUAUAUAGAUUAGCGAAUGUACCCGACUUCGUCCGGUUUUAGUCCCCGAGUGAAAGUUUUCUUAAGAAACAUUUCAUAGAGAAAAAAUAUAUUUUCUGGAAAAACCUUCACACUCUCUAUACUGAAUCUAUUCCUGUAAAGAUAAAUUGAUUGCUUAUAUGCUUUUCUUCAUAAAACUACUAAAUAAAUCAUUGGAAAAUUUUGCAUAUUGGUAUCUGAAUAUACAAAUUAACAUUAAAGCUAAUCAAACACUUAAAUUAGAGAUUCGUGGUCCAUUUGGAUGAGGAAAGUGAAGACUAAAACGCGGCUGAUUCCACACUCGCCUCUUCAGUGAUACGCUAACCUAUGCAAGGUGGAUUCUGUGGCCACUGGACAUGCGUCGGACCUGGAGGUUGUUGGGUUCUGUGUUGCCUGGAGUAUAGAAGCUCUAUCUAUGUUUCCUUCCUGUGGUGAAUCUGUAUAAAACCUGUGGUCUAAAUGAAGCUGUGUGUAUAAAUUAGACAAUAAACAGAACCAUUUUGCAUAUUUUGGUGUUAUAAAAUCAUGAUAACUUUUAUAUACUGACACACCCAAUAGCCUAGCUUUGCCUGGCUUAUCCCCUAGUGAAUGUUUGCCGGGCGAAUAUUGAUUUUAACAUGAAUGUUUUAUUCCAUGGAAGCAAUGGUCGCCUCUCCCGUCAAAAUAAACGUCAGAAUCUGACGCCAUCUAUUGACCGUCGCCGCAACUAGCGGCAUCGGGUCGGUGACAAAGCCACAACACCAACUUUGACAAACUGAAAAGCGUCCACCUAGAGACCAUGGUUUCGGGCUAAUGGCCCUCGUCAGUCUAGGGCGGACUUUAUUCCAUGAUAAUUAUUACCCAUGAGAGGAUUCAAAUAUUAAUGUAUUUUAAAAACUAUUAUAAUCAUUUUAUGUUUCAUUUUAAAUAUUUAUUUUUAAAAUUAAUUUUUACUUUAGAGUGACACGAUUCCAUUAUAGUCAGAAAAAGUAUUUGUUGAAGCAUUCUUGUUUUUAAAUAUCAAUGUUUACAUGUUUUAAAAAUAAAAUAAAAAUGAUACAUAUGCAAGCGUGUUGGAUCAUGUUUUGAUGGUGGCCUAAGGCAAAGUAGCCCUAAAAAGGAUUUCGUCGAACCAUAAACGGUCAAAUCUAGGACAAAAAGUUCAAUGAGGUGCGAGUUGAUAAGAGAUUUCCAAGAAGACCAGACGGCUGGGAGCCGUGGCGUGCUCCUGUAAUCCAGCUACUUGGAGGCCGGGGUUGGUGAACGGCUUGAGGCGGGGAGUCCUCCCUUCUGUCUCCCUAUGUUGACCGGAUGUCCGCACUAGGCCCAGUGUCAAUAUGGCGACUCCGGGGGAGCCCGGGGCCUCCAGGUCAGCUAAGGAGGAGUGGACCGGCCCAGGGCGGAAACGCAGCAGGCAAAAGCUCCCGCGCAGGGCGGUAGUGGGAUCGCGUCCAGGAAUAGGGACCAAAUGGGAGCCUCGCCGAUAUAGUUGGACCCAACUCUUUUUUUUUUAAACUUGUUAUUUUAUUCUUUGAAGGCCUUCAAAUUUAUUUUUAACGACCUAUGAGGGCUACAUAAAAGUUAUCGGUUCGAUUCCCAAUGCUGCAUUCUUUUUUUUUUUUUUUUAAUUAUUAUUAUUUAAUUUUUUAAAAUUGAUAUUAUAUACAGUGGUGGUGGUGCUUAUCUUCAAAUUUAUUAUUCUAUCCUAUACAUCCAAUUAUAUACAGUAGAACCUAUCUGUAAAGGACAACACCUAAUUACAGAGCCAAAGUGUCCUUUAGGGAGAGGUAUCCUCUUACCGGAGAGUUGCUAAAUAGUAAAAAUGGUAAUUUUGCAAAUGAAAACUGUCCUUUGUAGAAAGGUGGCUGCUAAAGGGAGGUUAUACUCUCUGUAUUAAUUAUAUAAAAAAAAUCAAUCAUUUAUAAUUAUUGAGAAUUUCGUCUACUCACAUAGAUUGUACUAUGUUUCACAAAUAGAUGCACAUAUGUCAGCAUUUGAGAAAGGAUGUUGAAAUGCCUGUUAAAGCAUUCUUGAUUGGGCAAACAUUCACUAGGAGAAAACUCAGGCGAAGCCGGGCAAUAAUUUAUUAUCGCGUGAGAACGCCCUUAGAGCCUUAGAAUAAUUUUUAACGCCUUGCUAUAUGUUUUAAUUUUUGUUUGCUCCUGAUGAGGACAAAAGCUUUUUGUCGAAACGCCGAGGCAAUAAAAAGAUUUAUACUGGCCGAAGUAUCUUUUUUCAAGAAAUAUGAAUGCCGGCCAGGCAGCCUCUAUCUUCACGAUGUAAAUAUUUUAUUAAAAAAACAGCAUUUUAUAUUUUAUACAUAUACACUAUGAUAAAAAUACAUUCGAGUAAAUUCUAGGCAUUGCUCAGGUCAUUUAGCUAUAUAGUUAAUUGUUCCAAAAUCACUUUAUUAGGUAUCGCUCAAAAAGAGAAACCUAGUUUAUGAUAUUUGCAACAAUGAAUAAUAUAUGAAGGUUAUUCAUAUAUUAAACAAAAUGUUAACGUGGGAUUCAAUCCCGGUUCAUGACUGUCGGGAAUCGAGGGUGUUACCCACGUGUCCACCGACUCUUCUAUAUAGUUAAGAAUCAAAUUAUUCUAGAAGUAAGCUUUAAUAAGAUUUCUUAAAACAGUGUUUUGGUAAAAUAUC